GGGCGUAGCUCAAUGGUAGAGCCUCUGCCUUCCAAGCAGAUCACGCGGGUUCGAUUCCCGUCGCCC
rnacentral:tRNA from 1 species